rnacentral:rRNA from 1 species
GAUGAACGCUGGCGGCGUGCCUAAUACAUGCAAGUCGAACGCGAGCACUUGUGCUCGAGUGGCGAACGGGUGAGUAAUACAUAAGUAACCUGCCCUAGACAGGGGGAUAACUAUUGGAAACGAUGACUAAUACCGCAUGUGGUCCUCGGAAGGCAUCUUCUGAGGAAGAAAGGAUUUAUUCGGUACAGGAUGGGCCCGCAUCUGAUUAGCUAGUUGGUGAGAUAACAGCCCACCAAGGCGACGAUCAGUAGCCGACCUGAGAGGGUGAUCGGCCACAUUGGGACUGAGACACGGCCCAA